rnacentral:rRNA from 1 species
GAUGAACGCUGGCGGCGUGCCUAAUACAUGCAAGUCGAGCGAACAGACGAGGAGCUUGCUCCUCUGACGUUAGCGGCGGACGGGUGAGUAACACGUGGAUAACCUACCUAUAAGACUGGGAUAACUUCGGGAAACCGGAGCUAAUACCGGAUAAUAUAUUGAACCGCAUGGUUCUAUAGUGAAAGACGGUUUUGCUGUCACUUAUAGAUGGAUCCGCGCCGCAUUAGCUAGUUGGUAAGGUAACGGCUUACCAAGGCAACGAUGCGUAGCCGACCUGAGAGGAUGAUCGGCCACACUGGAACUGAGACACGGUCCAGACUCCUACGGGAGGCAGCAGUAGGGAAUCUUCCACAAUGGGCGAAAGCUUGACGGAGCAACGCCGCGUGAGUGAUGAAGGUCUUCGGAUCGUAAAACUCUGUUAUUAGGGAAGAACAAAUGUGGAAGUAACUAUGCACGUCUUGACGGUACCUAAUCAGAAAGCAACGGCUAACUACGUG